UCUGUGUAUGUUAUAUAUAUAUAUAUAUUAAAAGAAGAGAUAAAAUAACUAAACAGAAUAAACAUGCGGCAACAGGGCAAAUAACGAGAAAUUCCCUGAUAUAAACGUCUUUCUCUGUAUUUCCACUUUCAUCCGGGAGGCGCCACCUCUUCCUUUUCUUUUUCCCCAUUCCUAUCCAGGUACUAAGGUGCUUACAGCGCCAUUCUGAGGGUUGGAAUUGGAAGCGCAAGAGAACGGACGGCUGCAGUUGGGAGAUUCUCCUUAUAAAACAUCACUGUGUAUGAGGGAAAUAUGCGGCCAAACGGGGGCCACAAGUGCCAGGGCCCAGGAGCGCAUUUAAAUGAGCUGAAGAGGAGGAUGAACAUCUAGAGAGAACCCUGGGGCAAAACAAAGGCAAAAUGGCUAAGAAGGAGGAGAAAUGUGCCAUCCAGGGAUCGCUGCAACCUGGCUAAUCCAACAUUCGGAAUCCUUUUACAAAGGGAAAUGGAACUUGGCCACUUUAUUAUUUAUUUUGUAUAAAGAUGCAAAGGCAAUUGGCUUCUCGCUGCUCAGAGCUCAUUAGUGAUCAGUUUAGAUACAUGAGCCGUGGCAGCUUGGGAAUCAGUGUAGUCUGCAACAUGCUCAGUACUGGGGCAGUUGUCUGGCCAAACAGGGUAGAGUCCCGGGAGGGUUCCUGUGUAUGUUAUAUAUAUAUAUAUAUUAAAAGGAGAGAUAAAAUAACUACACCGAAUAAACAUGCGGCACAAGGCAAAUAAUGAGAUGCCCAAUAUAAAUGUUUUUCUCUGUAUUUCCACUUUCAUCCAGGAGGCGCCACCUCUUCCUUUUCUUAUUCCCCAUUCCUAUCCAGGUACUAAGGUGCUUACAGCGCCAUUCUGAGGGUUGGAAUUGGAAGCGCAAGAGAACGGACGGCUGCAGUUGGGAGAUUCUCCUUAUAAAGCGUCACUGUGUAUGAGGGAAAUAUGCGGCCAAACGGGGGCCACAAGUGCCAGGGCCCAGGAGCGCAUUUAAAUGCUGAUGGCACAGUGGGUUCCCAUGGCAACAUUGAUGUCUUUAGACCACCCAUGUGGAAGCCUGCAGCUGAUGUCACAAUGGGUUCCCAUGGCAACACUGAUGUCACAAUACCAGCUGUGUGUGCGUAACUGUUACAACUUGGGGAAACACUUCAGAUUGCUUUUUAGAGCAGAAACGUAACGACCAUCUACCACAAUGGCGCCCAGAUUCUGUGAUUGUAUCCUGGACUGUGUGAGAGGUGUCUGCGCACCGUUCAGGUACAAGAAGAAGAAGCCUGGAAAGUUUGCCCAUAUGGAGACGGUCGUUUACGUGGCAAAGGACGAAUCCAUAACUUUUCUCCCAACGGGGACUAGUUAUUAGGAUUCGUAGGUAAGUAGUUAGGUAAGUAAUUAGGUUAGGAA